AUUGAACGCUGGCGGCAGGCCUAACACAUGCAAGUCGAACGAGUGGCGGACGGGUGAGUAAUGUCUGGGAAACUGCCUGAUGGAGGGGGAUAACUACUGGAAACGGUAGCUACUACCGCAUACCAUCGGAUGUGCCCAGAUGGGAUUAGCUAGUAGGUGGGGUAAAGGCUCACCUAGGCGACGAUCCCUAGCUGGUCUGAGAGGAUGACAGGCCACACUGGAACUUAGACACGGUCCAGAGUCCUACGGGAGGCAGCAGUGGGGAAUAUUGCACAAUGGGCGCAAGUCGGAGACAGCCAUGCCGCGGGUAUGAAGAAGGCCUUCGGGUUGGAGAGUACUUGCAGCGUGGAGGCGUUACCCGCAGAAGAAGCACCGGCUAACGCCGUGCCAGCAGCCGCGGUAAUUC
rnacentral:rRNA from 1 species